CCAUCAGUUAGUUGGUAAGGUAACGGCUUACCAAGGCAAUGACGGGUAGCGGGUUUGAGAGGAUGAUCCGCCACACUGGUACUGAGACACGGACCAGACUCCUACGGGAGGCAGCAGUGAGGAAUAUUGCGCAAUGGGGGAAACCCUGACGCAGCGACGCCGCGUGAGUGAGGAAGGCCUUCGGGUCGUAAAGCUCUGUCAGAUGGGAAGAAGUGUUAUAUGGUUAAUACCCUUAUAAUUUGACGGUACCAUCAAAGGAAGCACCGGCUAACUCCGUGCCAGCAGCCGCGGUAAUACGGAGGGUGCAAGUGUUGUUCGGAAUCACUGGGCGUAAAGGGCGCGCAGGCGGUCUGUUAAGUCAGAUGUGAAAGCCCACGGCUUAACCGUGGAAGUGCAUUUGAAACUGGCGGACUUGAGUAUCAGAGGGGAAAGUGGAAUUCCCGGUGUAGAGGUGAAAUUCGUAGAAUAUCCGGGGAGGAAUACCGGGUGGCGAAGGGCGACUUUUCUGGGCUGAAUACUGACGCUGAGGGCGCGAAAGCGUGGGGGAGCAAACAGGAUUAGAUACCCUGGUAGUCCACGCCGUAAACGAUGUGAACUAGAUGUAGGAGGUAUUGAUCCCUUCUGUGUCGCAGCUAACGCAUUAAGUUCACCGCCUGGGGAGUACGGUCGCAAGAUUAAAACUCAAAGGAAUUGACGGGGGCCCGCACAAGCGGUGGAGUAUGUGGUUUAAUUCGAUGCAACGCGAAGAACCUUACCUGGUCUUGACAUCCCAAGAAUCUCCUGGAAACAGGAGAGUACUUUCAUUAGAGAGAACUUGGUGGCAGGUGCUGCAUGGCUGUCGUCAGCUCGAGUCGUGAGAUGUUGGGUUAAGUCCCGCAACGAGCGCAACCCUCGCCUUUAGUUGCCAUCAGGUUAUGCUGGGCACUCUAGAGGGACUGCCGGUGUUAAACCGGAGGAAGGCGGGGAUGACGUCAAGUCCUCAUGACCUUUAUGACCAGGGCUACACACGUACUACAAUGGCCGGUACAAAGGGCAGCUAGCUCGCGAGAGUAAGCGAAUCCCGAAAAGCCGGUCUCAGUCCGGAUUGGAGUCUGCAACUCGACUCCAUGAAGUUGGAAUCGCUAGUAAUCGUGGAUCAGCAUGCCACGGUGAAUACGUUCCCGGGCCUUGUACACACCGCCCGUCACACCACGGGAGU
rnacentral:rRNA from 1 species